GAUCCUGGCUCAGGAUGAACGCUAGCGACAGGCUAACACAUGCAAGUCGAGGGGCAGCACGGGAGUAGCAAUACAACUGGUGGCGACCGGCGCACGGGUGAGUAACGCGUAUGCAACCUACCUAUCAGAGGGGAAUAACCCGGCGAAAGUCGGACUAAUACCGCAUAAAACAGGGGCACCGCAUGGUGAUAUUUGUUAAAGAAAUUCGCUGAUAGAUGGGCAUGCGUUCCAUUAGGUAGUUGGUGAGGUAACGGCUCACCAAGCCGACGAUGGAUAGGGGAACUGAGAGGUUGGUCCCCCACACUGGUACUGAGACACGGACCAGACUCCUACGGGAGGCAGCAGUGAGGAAUAUUGGUCAAUGGGCGGGAGCCUGAACCAGCCAAGUCGCCGUGAAGGAAGAAGGAUCUAUGGUUCGUAAACUUCUUUUGCAGGGGAAUAAAGUGCAGGACGUGUCCUGUUUUGUAUGUACCCUGAGAAUAAGGAUCGGCUAACUCCGUGCCAGCCGCAGC
rnacentral:rRNA from 1 species